UCUGCUUUUUAAUGCCUCCAAAUUGUUUUCUCCUUACCAUUCUCCCAGUCCCUUAGCCAUAUUAAAAGGUCUCCCCCAACUCUUGGCCAAUCAAGAAACUUUCCAUCCCAUUUCUAUGCUAGCCCUGCUUCACUCACAGCUUUCUUCAUUUCUCUCAUUUCUUAUUUCUUUACAGAAGCCAAUAGUAAGGUAGCAUGGAGUCUCUUGGCACUCUUAUAUCUUCCUUCUGCCUGCCAAACUGUCGAAGCAUUUUUAUAAUCGUAGGUCCCUGUUAUUAUUAGUCUGCUACAUUCAUUUUUUGAGGGAUCCUUUAUCGUUAGCGUAACGAUGGCUUACUACUUAAUGGAUAACUGUUAUUCAUAGUUAAUUCCAUACCACUUAAGAAAAAUUCUAUUACGAUUCUUCCCUUCAUUGAGUUUAAUUUAUUCUAAUUACUUGCUUGGCUCUAGCAUGUCUUUGCAUUUUUGUUUGUUUUUCAGGACAAGUACACAAGUGGGAUGUUUUGCAAGUCGUUCAAUGUCAAAGAUGAUCUUUUUGUGCCCUUUCAAUGAAAGCAAUGACGCCCCAGCUGGCUGUUGAAUUGGAACAACAGCACUCUCCCGCUAAUGUCUAAUGUGAUGCGCCAUUGCUUUCCUCACACAAAGUUGGUUUCGCUGCUGCAAGAGAGACCCAGGUUAGGAAGUGUGACUUGAGAAUGAUGCCAGGAUCAAUGUUGACAAUGAGAUGAGAGCCAGAGUGAAGCCAGAAGAGGCCGAGAAGCCAAAACUGGAAAUGAGUUGUCAGAGAUGCUCAUGAUGAGGCGUCUACAGUAUACAUUCCACCCCUCCGUACAGGGGUGAAAUCUGCCAAACCGAACAAGUAAUACUCACCCAGAAGAAAAGGGUCUACUCUCGCUGAGAUCAUUUAAUUUGGUACUAAGUGAAAUGUGCACAUUAUGAAGAUGUUCUUAAUACACUACUUCUGGGAAGAAUUAUUCUUGUGAAGUGUGGAAUGGGAAGGAAGCAUGAGGCAUGGUGACAUGGAUGCGCAUCACCUGGGACAUCCAGCAGUCUGCUCCCACAGAUGCCCUCAAGGUAGUAUUUACCUUGAGGGGCCUCACAGACUCUGACACCCGAUCUCAUGGAUUGGACCCAGGAAUGCAGACUCAUGCUAACAAAACUCACAAGACACAGAUGUAUUAAAAAAAAAAAAGAAGAAGGCGACUUUAUUAUUUACAGUGAACAACAGAAGAAUCAGGUGUACUGAAUGUCCAUCAGCCUGAUAGUGAAUUAUCUCCUUGGGAAGGAAAAUUUACCACAGGGAAGCGUGGUGGGCAUGGAAGCAGAGCAAGUGGAGUUAAUUACACAGGAUUCCAGCACCAAAUGGCAUAAGGCUCUGCAGCUCUCUACAAGAGGGUUACCCACCUGCCAGGCAGGCUGGAUGCUUGCCUCAGCCUGGCAGGUGCCACGGCUCAGAAGGUGCUUUGCUGGGUAUCACCACAAUUAAAUUGAUCGGUUUUCUUUUUCUCUGUUUGAGAGACAGAGAAAAUGCUCAUCUGAUGAAGAUUUUAUAUGUUUGGGCAGUUUUAAGAUGUCAAUACCCUCAAUUAGGGUAUAGUCAAAUUUUACUGUCCAAGGAGUCUUUAUAUCUCUUAAGAUCACAAUGGCGCUCUUGGCUUUAAUCUCUUAGAUGUUCAUUUCUUUGAUUAAUUUUCAGAGAGUAUUUUCAUUUCCCUGCUUUCUGAGAUCAAGGGGGGCACUGCAAAGUGGACUCCACAUUUGCCUACAGGUUCCACAAAGUGUCAGUUAAAGUCAAAUCAACCUGUACUCACUGUGCCAACUUUAUGCCCACUGCUGUGCCAGGUACAAAAUAACAUUCAAAACAGCCUCUAAGGAAAUGUUGUAUCCACUGGAUGCCUACAGCCUUUCUCUCUUUUUAAGGUACAAGAAAUAUAAAGAUAAACACAACAUUGUCUUGUUCCCUUUAAGUCUUGCAAAGGAACAAGAUACGUGUGUUUAAAAAAAAAAAAAAAAAAAAGAAGGUGCUGUGCCAAGUGAUAUAAAGCAUGGCAGAGGGAGUCCUUUUAUAUUUAUGGGCAGAGACAGAAGCCACAUCUUUCUGUAAGUCUGAUUAAAAAAAAAACAAAACCAAGUAACACUGAUGAUUACUUUAAAAAUUUAACAACAGUGAAGCAUGAAAUAGAAGUUCCUUCCUUUCUACUUCUCCACCCCUGUUCUACAGACUCUCAAGGUUGCCCCCAGUAGUUCGGUGAAUACUCUUCCAGAUCUUUUUCUACGUAUAUGAAACACACACACACACACACACACACACACACACACACACACACACGCUUCAGCAGCCCCAAACACACAUAUUUAUAUACAUAAACAUAAAUUUAUAUAUUAUAUCAACAUGCAAAAUUUAUAUAUUGCACAUCCCAUUUAUGUAAUAUAUACACAUAUGUGAGACUGUGAUAUAUAUAUUGUUUUAUAACUUCUUCUACAUUUAAUUCUUUGUUGUCAGUUAUAACAUGUAUUUUAAAAAGUACAAAAAAUAUGCUGUUUAGAAACCAAACUACUCUGGUUGCUCCCACCAAGUCAGUAAACAGAAAAUUCUCAGUGCCCCAGGACCCCCUGCGUCCACCCCCCCCCCCCCAUAUCAUCAUGCUGAAUCUUAUGUUAAUCAUUUCUUAGCUUUCUGUAUAGUCUCACUACCUAUGAGGCAGGCAAAGCUCAAAUUAGCCUGCAUCAAAUGCCCUCAGGGCAAAAGCAGCUUCUGUUCUCUAAAUCUCCAUGGAUUCUCACUGUUUCUUAGAUUUCCUUUGAUUUUCAGUCCUUUGCUGCUCUGAGGAUGUUUUCUUAUACAUAUUCAAUAGUUGGGGUUGUUUUCAGCAAGAGGAUUGUUCAAGUAAUGUGAUGGGCUGUAUUUCCAGUAACAGAAAUCUGUGUCACUUGUCAACUUCUUUCUGUGUUACAGUUAUAUGUAUAAAUGUAGAGUCUUACCUACUAGAUCCUGACUCCUUGGGGGUUAUGGGAGGCAAACGUUCUUAAUCUGCCACGGCACACACAGUGAAAUAUGCAGUCAAUGCACAAAGAGUACAGAGCAAAGGAACGGACAUGAGAACGAAUAUGGAAUUACACCUGUUCCGGAGGGGUUGCCAUUUCCUUGUUUCGAAGGGAGAGAUGUGGAUGCAUAAAAUGAUCUGACGUGAAACAAUUUGAGGCCACAAGGCAAUAUUUUCAACGAAAUCACCUCCACUCACCAACGCGGGAAGUUUUCCAAGAUACAUUGUCAAGUGAAAAAAGAAAGUUGUAAGACGGUGUCUGUGUAUAAGACAGAUCUAUCUCUAUCUCCCACGUGUGUACACAGGCAUGUGUGUGAGUGUGUGCCCACACGUUCUUGUUUAUGCCCAGAAAUAAUGGCUGUAAGAGCACGUAGCAGUGGUUACUUCUAUGAACGGGGCCUGGGAAGCCAGGAGUUAACCUUUUCAUUUUCAAGUGUCCUAUAUAAUCUUUUUACAUGAAGCAAUACAUUAUUUUUAUAGUUAGGGGAGAAACUUUUAAAUUCCAUUCAAGGGGAACCAUAUCUGAUGAGAGAGAUCAAGAAGAAAAAACAGACAGGAAGACAUAAAUUAUUGGGGAAGGCUCCUUCAAAAAGGCAGGACCUGAAAUGAGUCCCAGGCCCUGGCAGAGUUCACACUGGGAGGACAGAGGUGAGGGAAAAGCAGGGCGACAUGGACAAGAGCUGUGCGUGAGCAGAUGUUGGGAAGAGACGAGAACGACACCUGAAGAGGGACCCAAGGAAGCUCCCCUGGCUCAGGUUAACUCCAGUUUAUACAGAGGGGCGUGAUGUUUAAUCAGACACAACGGCAUCAAACAGCAUCAAAUGGGCAACGUCAUCAAUAUUAAGAGCUUAUCACUGGUUUCAUGGGAAACAGAAGUCAUCACAGGGUACUUGACAAGGCAGUAACAGAAUACCAACCUCGUGGAGUACUUCGUGCAGAAUGAAAUCAAACGUGAAAAAUCCCUAGUAAUUGGUAAAGUGCUGCAUCAGCAAUGAUAGGUUUGAUUACGCAAGAGUUACAUUUUGGGGAGGUUAUCAUGGUAUUUUGGCACAGAAUGUACCAAACAGGGGCAGAAAAACUCAGGGCCAGGAGAUUCCUCAGCAACAGAAUACACCUGUAAGAGCUCGUCCAGUUUUCACAACCUGAGACGUGCGGGUAACGGCCCUGCCUCUCAGGUGUGUUGAAGAUUAAGUGCACAUAAAAUGGCACGGUCACAAUGUAUCAGUUCGUUUCUCCUCAACGCUAUCAGAGUCCAGAUGUAUGCUGAUAAAAAUAAAAACUGAUGCCCUGGCCAAGGGAAUGAAAAAGAUAAAGCCUGAGACUUUUCUAAAUAAAUAAUCAGUAAGGAUCUAUUUCUGGGAUGCCGGGAAUGACCGAGGAAAAGAUGAUUUCUAGCUAUCCAGCAGGGGACACUGGGGAAAUGGUAAUGUCCCUGAAAGAAAUCUACCCAGAUCUGUGAUCCACAACAUCUCUGGAGUCAGGACACUCCUAUCACAUGACUUUCACCUCCACUAUCUGGUACUCCCGACCCAUAACCCUCCCCACUGGGUUUGGGGCAACCUCCUUAUGUUAGUAUAAAUAGAUCGUGAAAUAUUUUAACAUAAAAGUGUACUUAUAUCUAUUUUACUUGGGGAAAAAAUGUCCAGGAUAUAUUAAAAACCUCAAGACAACGGAGACAUGCAAAAAUCACUGACGACUCAUUUAUCGCAAUGGGCAAAAUUUAGCAGUACCUUAUGACAAAUCAAAAUGAGCUCCAUGUUUGACUUCAAGGAAGAAAGAUUCUAGAUGAAUAAAAUAUGUGACAGAAUUAAACAUCUUUGUUUUAAAAUUAUUUGUAUCAUCUGAAGGCCUGAAUCGCAAAAUUAUGAAACCAAAAAAAGUUCAAUAAAAAUUAGUAAAAUAA